rnacentral:rRNA from 1 species
AUUUUGGACAGUGGGGGAAACCCUGAUCCAGCCAUCCCGCGUGUAUGAUGAAGGCCUUCGGGUUGUAAAGUACUUUUUGCAGAGAAGAAAAGGUAUCUUCUAAUACUAGAUACUGCUGACGGUAUCUGCAGAAUAAGCACCGGCGUACUACGUGCCAGCAGCCGCGGUAAUCAGUAGGGUGCAAGCGUUAAUCAGUAUUACUGGUCGUAAAGCGUGUGCAGGCGGUUCGGAAAAAAAGAUGUGAAAUCCCAGGGCUCAACCUUGGAACUGCAUUUUUAACUGCCGAGCUAGAGUAUGUCAGAGGGGGGUAGAAUUCCACGUGUAGCAGUGAAAUGCGUAGAUAUGUGGAGGAAUACCGAUGGCGAAGGCAGCCCCCUGGGAUAAUACUGACGCUCUGACACGAAAGCGUGGGGAGCAAACA